AGAUCCCUAUUUUAUAUACCUACUUGAAAUUUAAAAGUAUUAAUAACAGGUAUUUACUAUAUUAGGUAUCUAACAAAAUACAUCACCUAUAAUAUAAUCCACACAAUGUUCGUACAAAUGUACAAUAUUGGUUUUGUUUGACAUAUACCUACUUGAUAAUACGAGUUAUGACAAUCUAACAUAGCUAGAUUAUUAAAAACAACUUUAAAAUUUGAAUGUAUUACCUGCAUUAUAAAUGCAUACCUAUAUUAUAUUAUUAAUCUAUUAAGAAACUAAAAAUACU